GACGAACCGAGCGAACGUUGUUCGGAAUCACUGGGCUUAAAGGGCGCGUAGGCGGGUAUUCAAGUCCGUGGUGAAAUCCGGCAGCUCAACUGUCGAAUUGCCGCGGAUACUGGGUAUCUCGAGGGAGGUAGGGGCACGCGGAACUAACGGUGGAGCGGUGAAAUGCGUUGAUAUCGUUAGGAACUCCGGUGGCGAAGGCGGCGUGCUGGACCUCUUCUGACGCUGAGGCGCGAAAGCCAGGGGAGCAAACGGG
rnacentral:rRNA from 1 species